UGGCGGACGGGUGAGUAACGCGUAAAGAACUUGCCCUUUAGACUGGGAUAACAGAGGGAAACUUCUGAUAAUACUGGAUAAGUUAGUAUAUCGCAUGAUAUGCAAAUGAAAGCUACGGCACUAAAGGAGAGCUUUGCGUCCUAUUAGCUAGUUGGUAAGGUAAGAGCUUACCAAGGCGAUGAUAGGUAGCCGGCCUGAGAGGGUGGACGGCCACAAGGGGACUGAGAUACGGCCCUUACUCCUACGGGAAGCAGCAGCG
rnacentral:rRNA from 1 species